rnacentral:lncRNA from 1 species
GGAGACAACUUAAAAUAGUUCAUCGUACUAUGAUUCAUAAUGUUUCAAACUCAUUUCAACUAAAUAAAAUAAUUUCAUUUCACUCAAAUAAUCAACAUGGCUUAUGAAUUUCUUAAAAAUUUGGCUCGUGCCAAAACUCAUUCUCGGGGAUACCUAGGUCGGGGCAUCCAACCAAGUCCGCCAAGACUGUUAAAGAAAAGUUCAUAUAUGCAUAAAACACAUUUUUACGUUUAAAAGCAUAGUCGUUCCUUGGCUUUGGCUGAGUUCACCCUCACGUGGUGGUUUAGCGUGUAGUGAACUCUAAAGCUUUACCUUAGGAGAUACCCUCUGCGCCUCUCGUACUGAGGUAAAAUAUAAUCGGGUUUACCGUGCCUCUCUCUAAUAGGCAGGUCCAUGAAAACCCACCACUGCAGUGACUAAUCAAUAUCCCACCAAAUCAAUAAAAGUUUUGAUAGCAUGACAUGGCAAUUAUAUUACUACCAGCCUGUUAAGGCAUAACAAACAGUUCAUACAAUUUCAACACAAUUUCCAAUUUAGCCAUUCAUGCCAAUAUCACCAUAAGCCAUUCAAUUCAAACCAUAAAUUUACAACACAAUCAAACAGUCUCCAAUUACUCAAUUUCUAAAAUCAUCAUUCAAUUUCAAAAUGAUUUAUAAAACUCAUUUCAUUUAAUCACAUUUUACUUAUAAAACAGAAAGAUUUACCAUUUAAACUCAUUUUUCUAUAAAAUCACAAAAACAAAUAAAAACUACUUUAGAUAAUUAAAAUGAUAAUAAGGUUACUCACAAUAUCGAGAGUCGAAGUACUCCUAGUCUCAAUUUUCAGGUACAAUUUUCUUACCCUUAUCGGAAGUUUCACCACCUAAACAUAAUGCACAACAAGCAAUUUACUAUAUUUGUACUAAACCGUUAUAAAACUAAUUUAGGCUUUAUAUGAAUGCAUGAAAUGGGAUGGGAAAUGUUCGGUUUAUUAUCUAAAUAUGGUGUUCUACGUAGCUUCAAUUAUGUAUCGAAAUAAAAUGGUAUUGGCCUAAUUCGAUCUAUACACCGAUUAAUUGGCCAAUACAUCCAAUUCAACUCCAAUUAACUUCAUUCCACUUCCAACACUCCAUGUAAAACCCGACCCUAUAAACACGUCAUGACAUACAUGCACUAAGUAGCAUGUUAUUAUGCUAGAAAAGUCCUAAGAAUAGACGAAACCCGGUAUUGUACCUAACGGUACACUUGAGUUAAUUUAACCUCGAACUAGUUCAAAUAGGAAUCGUAGAAUGAAAUUUGAUAUUUUACAGUCCAAGAAUGACUAAAAAUGAUUGUUCAGAGUUCGAGGGUUCAUUUGGAAAAAAAUUGAAAAUUUUGAUGUUUAGGGAUAAAAUCGUCAUUUUGCCACCUAAGAUAAUAAUUUGAUCAUGGAGUGAAAUUUUUGACCAAGAUUAACUAUUUGGAGUAUAAUUUAAUGAUAAGAAGUGAAAAAUUUCAAUUUCGGUAAUUUUUGAAACAUAGGGGCAAAACGGUAAUUUUGUCACCUUGGGGUAAAAACCGUAAUUUUCAUCACCCAAAACUUGUCAAAAUCAUACGAUUUACUUAUCUUUGGUAUGAAUAACUAUGGUAUUUUAAGUGGUGAAAAAUUGAAGUUUAAAAAACCAAAUUUUAAAAACGGGCCAACGAGAAAGUGACACAUGGCACUUUUUAAUGAUUUAAUAUUAUUUUAAUGAAAAUUCAGCCCAUUUAAACCCCAUAUUAAGUGAUGGCCGGCCAUAAGGAGAGAACAAGAGAGAAAUAGAGAGGAAAGGAAGAAAAGCGAAAAACCAAAGGAAAACUAGAAAAUUCAAAGGGGAAAUCGCGUUUUUCAUCCGUUUACAUGUCUAACGGUAAGAUUUUUUGACUUUAGCUUGAUUUCUACCUUUUCUAUGCCUUUAUUUUCAUUUAGCAUGCUUGAGGAGAGAGAUCAAAAAGUGAAACCAAGGGCUGGCCGAAUUUCAAGGGGAGAGAUUUUGAAAUUUUUAAGUUUUGAUUCUUAGUUAAAUUAGUAGUUUUAGUUAGUUAAAUGUGUAUAGAAAUCAAAUUGGGUAAGAAAGCAUAAAAUUCUCACAAUACCCACCCUUGGCCGAAUAUGCAUUGAUGUACAAUGAUGAUGAACUGAUUUUUAUUCUAAGAGAAAUGAAGAGAAAAUGAUGAAAAAUGGUUAAAUGUGAUAGAAAAACAAAGUGAAAAAUUAACCAAGUAAAUGUCUCAUUUUUGACCGAAUUUUCCAAGAAGGAAAGUGAGCUGAUUUUUGUGAUUUUAGAAGGUUAUUGGCUGAUAUUUAAUGGUUAGAAAUGUUGGAGAGAAAAUGGGACAAUUUAGAGCUAAAAUGGAGCGCGUUAGCAAUUUAACGGGUAAAGUGCAAAAAAUAGGUUAAUACCGCGUUUAAGCCGUUUUAGGCUAUUGCAUUUCAUACCAUGCAUUAGUAUAGGAUUUAAGUCAAUUAUAUAGUGAUUUAGCAUCAAUGUGGUGAAUUGGAUAAAUUUUGCAAUGUGUUUAGGAGGAGAGCCUUCCGGUAAAGGCAAAGAAGUCAUACCCCGACGAACAGUGAUCGGGGCACCUAAAAAGCAAUUAGUUUAUACAAACGGUGAGUAAACUUAUUAUUAUUGUAAAUUAUCUAGAGUUUAUUUUUAAAUGCUCUUCAUGGAUUUUAUGAAAUGAAAAUGAGAUUAAAAUAGAAUUUUUGAUGUUUUAGAGAUAAAUGUGACAAAUAAAAAUAUAUUUGUGUUGAUUAUGAAAUUGAGUAAUUGGAGGCUGUCAAUUAUUUUGAAAUAUAUAUUUUCCUAUGAAUGGCUUAUCAUAUAUGAGUAUAUGUGGCUAUAUGUUAUAAUUGCAUUGGAAAUUUAUGUAAGUUGUCUUUUAAUAUGCAGGUUAGGUAAAUAAAUAAAAGCCACAUUAUACUGUCGAAAUUUUAUUAAAAUUGGUGGGUUUAGUCACUGCAGUGACGGAUUUCUAUGGAUUGCCUAUUAGAGGGGCACGAUAAACCCGGUUAUAUAGUUGCUCCGGUAGUAGAGGCGAGAAGGGUAACUCCCGGGGUAGUGUUAGAGCUCACUUCACAUCGAACUCCUACGUGAAUGUGUAACUCGGCCAACGCCAAGGAACAACUUGUUUUAAAAAUAAAAAUGUGUUUCACGUGUAAAUAUCUUAACAACCUUGACAGACUCGGUUAGAUGCCUCGGCCAAGGUAUCCCCGAAGAUUAGUUUUGGCUUGAGCCUUAUUUUUAAUAAAAGUCAGAAGCCUUAACAACUGUUUUGGUAAAUUACAAAUAUUUUAUGAUUUAAGAAAUAAAUUGAAAACCUUAUGAAAUGGUUUGUAAUUUGUUGUUUAAACUUGCCUCUAUGUUACUCGCCUUUAAAUAUUUAUGAUAAUGUCUGUUUACUCAUUAGGAUUGCGAAAUCUCACCCACCUCCUUUUCAAAUAUUUCAGGCCAGUGGUAGCUUAUAGAUACCGAUUUUGUCGAGGAUUCCAGUUGACCCCUCUAUCUCACAGACAAUAGGUUACUAUCACCAACACUUGUUGUAUUUAGGGGCCACAUGUCAUUGUAAUUAUUAUUGUACAUUAUAACUUUGUAAAUUAUUAUAUGUAUGAAUUUAUUGUACUUUCACAUUACAAAAGAUUUUUACACGUGUUUCUAUAAAUAUUAUUUUAUAUAAAAAUAUUAUAUUUAAUCAAUAUUUUGAAUAGUAAUAUUUGUCUAUAAAUCCUUUUAAAAUAAUUUUGUCUUUUGAUUUACUUGAGCCGAAAAUGACUGAAAAUUGUUUAAAACUUAUAUGUAAGCCUUGCGAGGUUCCGAUUGGUAUUCCGGGUAAUGAGUAUCAAUUGGGACAUCGCGACGGUUGUCAUGGGCCCGAGGGAGGUUCCGGGUCAUGACAAUUCAGUUGGUAUCAGAGCAAAGGAAAAGAUAACCCUAUUCUUGAGAACUCUCGCACAUGAUCUAUGGCGAAGUAUGACUCUCCGCCCAGGAGCUUGGAAGAUGAGGGAAGGGACUGCUUUACACUUGGGUGGGAGUGAAGUACACCUCUUGCCGAGUGCUCUGAUAGGUACCAUUGAAUGCCGCCGGUGUCCAGAGGGGUGGAAGAAUUUAAUUGGUAUUAGAGCUUUUGGUUUAAAAGCUUAUGGUUUUGAAAGAAGUUUUUUAUUUUUAAAGUUCUUGGAUUCAAAGUUAUUUUAAAAUAAUUUACAAUGUCAGUGUGGCCCAGUUAAGAUUAGUUAGUUGCAUGCAGUUGCAUACAGAGUCUUAAGUCGUCUAAACCAAUUUCGUUCUUUCUGUAGAUCAUUAUGCCUCCUCGACGUGAGCUACCACCUAUCACUAGAUCUAUCGGUAGGGGAAGAGGUCACCCUAGACAGAGUCGGUCGAAUUCCAUAGAAAAGGAGUCGGCUACAUCUUCUUUUAGAGCAGUUCCUACUGCUGAGUCUACUGACAUUCCUAUACCUCCUCCACUACCUGUUGCUGCUCCUGGCAUACCUGCCAUGUCACCCGAGGCAGCUCAGGCAUUAGCGAUUUUUCUCGCUACUCUUACGAGUCAAGCUCAGGCUGGUUCAGUUUCACCCGUUGUUUCCCCUGUAACAGCCCCAGUACCACCACCUCCUAUUUCACCCUAAACACCGGACAUCUCCAUUUCUAAGAAAUUGAAAGAAACUAGACAGUUAGGUUGCGUCUCGUUUACUAAUGAGUUGGAUACGACCGCAGCUAGGGAUUAGGUUAUUCAAGUAUCGGAGACACUGGCAGAUAUGGGAUUAGAUGAUGAGAUGAAAUUGAAGGUGGUUACACGGUUAUUUGAUAAGAGAGCCCGUACUUGGUGGAGUUCAGUAAAGUCUCGCUCUUCUAUACCGCUGGCUUGGAUGGAUUUCCUCCAAGAGUUCGAUGGUCAGUACUACACCUAUUUCCAUCAGAAAGAGAAAAAGAGAGAAUUUCUGAGCUUGAAACAAGGGAACAUGACCAUUGAAGAGUAUGAAACUCACUUUAACGAGCUGACGCUUUAUGUACCUAAGUUGGUGAGAUUGGAGCAAGACCAAGUAAACUACUUUAAAGAGGGAGGUUCCGGGUCGUGACACUCCAAGUCAUCAAUUACAAGUUAAAUAAUAUGUAAUAUCACAAAAACCCAUCAUCAAUAUCUUCCUUGUAAAAUUCGGCCAUUGAAGGUUUAAUGUAGAACAUGUAAUUUUUCAUGCUUGAUUUUUACACCCUACAUCAUAAAACAACUAAAAACACCUAAAUAGCAUGAAAUUCAUCAAAGUCCAUUAUCCAAUUUCUCUCUUGAAAAUUUCAGCCAAGGACUGUGGGUGAAGGGCAUGAAAUUUCUUGCUUGUUUUUCAUGCUAAACAUCACCAAACAACUAAAAACACUAAGAUACCUUGAAAUCUAACCAAAUAAAUCAUCAAAUCUUCUCUCCCUAAAUUCGGUCAGCCAUGAAUCCUUCAUGAGAUCUUGAAUUUUAACCAUGGUAAUUGAAAAAGAAUGCAUAGGAAAGGUAGAUCACAAGCUAGAAUUAAGAAAUUUUACCUUUACUUGCUUAAUUCCUUGAAAUCCAAUGAAUUUUCUCUUGAUUUUCUUCUCUAGGGUUUGUUCUAUGCUUUUUGCCUUUUGUUCUUGCCUUGGCCGACCAAGAGAAAUGAGAUGGGAGAGUUUUAGUUGUGUUUAUAAAGGAAAAUAUAAUAAUAUUAAAGCUUGACACUUGUCACCAUGUAAUUGGUCCAUACAUAAAACUUAAUAAUUAAGCAUUUCUUCUCCACCACAUAAAAUCCCUCAAUUAUCCAAAAUAUAAAAUGAAUUUCAUGGGUUUGACAAGUGUCAAAGUGGUGCAAAAUUCCAAAAAUUCUAAUUACCUCCUUAUGGACACGUGAAAUGACCUUUUUGCCCUUAUGUUCGAAAAAUUAUCGAAAUUAAAAUUUUUCACUUCUCAAGCUCAAAUUAUGUUCCAAAAUGGCAAACUAGAUCAAAAUUUCAUCCACCAUCCCAAAUUUGCCCUCGGGUGGAAAAAUGACCAUUUUACCCCUACAUUAUGAAAAUUCCAAUUUAACUCCAAAUCAAUCCCCGAACUCUAAAUCACCAUAUUAAGUCAUUCUAAAAUUCAAUAACUCUUAAUUGCAUCUUAAAAUCUUUAUUUGAACUAGUUCAAGGCUUAAAUCAACUUAGUUGUACCACUAGGUACACUACCGACUUUUGACGAUUUUUCCAAUGUAUUCAAGUAUGCAAGCAUGUUGUCAAAGACAUGAAUGACAUGGUAAGUAUAUUAUAGGGCUGGGCUUGACAGCAUUGUCCCCCUUAAAAUAAAAUUUUGAUCGAACUCGGAGAAAAGGUAGGGGUAUUGUCUUCUCAUUUGAUGCUUGACUUCCCAUGUUAUCUCCUCCAUACGGGCAUUCUUCCACAACACUUUAACCAUUGGAAUGCUCUUGUUCCUUAAUACUCGAUCCUUUCGAUCUAUAAUACGUACAGGCUGCACCUCGAACUUUAAAUCUUCGUGCAACUCAAUCAAAGGCGUCUCAAAGAUAUGGGAGGGAUCUGGUACAUACUUCUUCAGCAUCGAGACGUGAAAGACGUUGUGAAUCUAAUCCAACUCUGGGGGUAACUCCAAUCUAUAUGCCACUAGCCUAAUCCUUUCAAUAACACGAAAGGGUCUAAUGUAUCUCGAAUUGAGCUUUCCUCACUUUGCGAACCGGAUCACACCUUUCAUUGUCCAACAAGAUACCAGAAUUUACCACAAUAGUAAUUUCAAAUAAAACUUAAUAUCUCAAAGUAUUCAAAUUAUUACCUUUUCAACGAAAGACCUUAAGAAAAUCUUUAUCAUCAAUUUCAAAUUCUAGAUUUUUUCUCUGUCUAUCAAAGUAACUUUUCUGCCUGUCUUGAGCGAUCUUUAAUAGCCUUGGAUGACCUUGAUCUUGUCAUUAAUCACAUCAAUCAGAUCUACAUUAAACAAUUUCCUCUCACCCACUUCAUCCCAACAGAGUGGAGUUCAACACUUUCUCCCAUACAGAGCCUCAUAUGGUGCCAUCCUAAUACUAGAUUGAAAACUAUUGUUAUAUGCAAAUUCCACCAACGGCAAGUGUCUAUCCCAACUGCCCGUAAAGUCAAUGACAUAAGCUCGUAGCAUAUCCUUCAAAGUCUUAUGGUCAUUUCAGACUAACCAUCUGUCUGUGGAUGAAAGGCAGUACUAAACCUCAAAUUAGUUUCGAGAGCUUCUUGGAAUUUUUGCCAAAAUUGAGAAGUGAAUCGGGGGUCUCGAUCUGACACGAUAGAAACUGGAACUCCAUGUAACCUCAUUAUCUCAUCUAUAUAAAGCUUAGCCAGCUUCUCAAUGGAAUACGUGCUAUGGAUAGCCAAGAAAUGGGCAAACUUAGUCAAUCUAUCCACAAUCACCCAUAUAGCAUCCUUCCCACUCUGCGUCCGCGGCAAACCCAAUACAAAGUCCAUAGUCACGUGUUCCCACUUCCAUUCUGAAAUAGGUAAAGGCUGAAGAGUACCCGAUGGUUUCUAAUGUUCCGCCUUGAUGUGUUGGCAUGUGAGACAUUUCACUACAAACUCUGCUACGUCUCGUUUCAUACCCGGCCACCAAUAACUUUCCUUGAUAGUUCUGUACAUUUUGGUGCUUCCGGGAUGUAAAGCAUAGGCAGAAGAAUGAGCUUCCUCCAAAAUAGCUCGUCUCAACUGAUCAUCCUUAGGGACACAAACCCGGUUCCUAAGCAUUAAGAUACCAUCAUCACCAAGUCUGAACUCAUUAGUCUCUCCAUCUCGCAACUUUUGAACUUCUCGUUUCAACUCAUCAUCAGACUUCAGCAAUUCUCUUAUUUGAUUGAACAAUGAAGGUCUCACAACGAAACUAGCAAGUAGGGUUCCAUCCUCACCAUUUCUUAAUUAGAUUCCUAAAGAUUUUAUCUCAAGUAAUAUCGAAAAAUAAGAACUCCGAAGUGUUGCUAAUGAAGAUGAGGAUUUAUGACUUAAAGCAUCUACUACAACAUUUGCCUUCCCAAGGUGAUAAUCAAUCACUAAGUCGUAAUCCUUAGUCAACUCUAACCAUCGUCUCUGUCUCAAGUUAAGCUCUUUCUAGGUGAGCAAGUAUUUCAAACUCUUAUAGUCGGUAAAAAUCCGACAACACUCACCAUAUAAGUAAUGCCUCUAAAUUUUCAAUACAAAGACUAAUGCUGCUAACUCUAAAUCAUGGGUAGGGUAAUUCUUCUCAUGCUUCUUCAACUGUCGGGAAGCAUAAGCUAUCACUUUCUCAUCUUGCAUUAACACGCACCCUAAUCCCAAUUUAAAGGCAUCACUGUACACUACAAAUUCUUUUCCAUUAACAGAAAGUGUCAAAACGAGAGCGGAGGUUAACUGAUUCUUCAACUCCUGAAAUCGACUCUCACAGACAUCAUCCCACUCGAACUUAACUCCUUUACGAGUCAAACAAAUCAAAGGAGCAGCUAUCAAUGAGAAUCCCUGAACAAACCUCCUAUAAUAACCGACUAAGCCAAGGAAACUCCGAAUCUCUGUUACCGUUUUCGGUUGCUCCCAUUGUAAAAUUGUCUCAAUCUUCUUGGGAUUGACAUAAAUUCUAGCUCCAAACACAACAUGUCUCAAGAAAACCACUUCCUUCAACCAAAACUCACAUUUAGGAAACUUGGUAUAGAGUUGUUUUUUGCGUAAAGUUUGCAGCACAAUGCGCAAAUGGGAAGCAUGUUCGUUGUCAUUCUUCGAAUAGACCAGAAUGUCAUCUAUGAAUACUAUCACGAACUUAUCUAAGUAUGGAUGGAACACCCUAUUCAUAAGAUCCACAAAAGCUGCUGAGGUAUUAGUCAGACCAAACGGCAUAACCAAAAACUCAUAAUGCCCAUAACGCGUCCUGAAAGCAGUUUUGGGUACAUCCUGCUCCUUAAUCUUCAACUGAUAAUACCCAAACCUCAAAUCAAUCUUAGAAAACACCAUAGCACCUCGUAACUGAUCAAAAAGAUCAUCGAUCCGUGAUAGAGGGUAUUUAUUCUUGAUGGUCACUCGGUUCAGCUGACGAUAAUCGAUACAUAACCGAAGAGUGCCAUCCUUCUUCUUUACAAAUAGGACUGGUGCUCCCCAAAGAGAAGUGCUAGGGCAAAUAAAACCCUUAUCUACCAAAUCUUGCAACUAGACUUUCAGUUCCUUCAACUCCACUGGAGCCAUUCGAUACGGAGGAAGGGAAAUAGGUGUAGUACUCGGGAGUAGAUCAGAAUUUUGAAGUACAACUUCUUUCCAAAAACAAUCCACGUUCGCCCGAUGUGCAGUUAAUCAGUCCAUACCCAAUAUUAAAUCGAAAUCCUGGAUCUCUAGAGGAAUUAAAUCACCUCUAAAUUCUUCCUCACCAACCAUUACCCCACAGUCUCUAUAACAAGUGUUUCUAACUAGCUUUUCUCCUAAAGAGGUGUGAACUACAAUUUCUUCCUCUAAUGGUGACAGGUUUCUAUCAAAAAAUGAUGCAAAUGUCGUGCUCACAUAAGACCUGUCCGAGCCAGAAUCUAUUAAGACAUAUGCAUCUUUAUCAAAUAAAAACAUAGUAUCUGUCACUUCAUUGGGUCGAACCCGUGCCUCAUCCUCCGUCACAGCAAAAACUCUUGUCGAAGAACGAGUCUAUGGUCUAGAGGGUGGAUGUGUCAGGGCGUUACUCUCCACAUCGGACCGUAUGGCUACUCUCUGUCUCAGUGGUAACCCAGAAGAAUCUCUCCUUUGCAUAUCUGUGUGAGCUGGUGGAGAUAGAGUAGCUAUAGUAGCUUGUCCAAACCGUGGGCAAGUACUCCUAAUAUGACCCGGUUGACCACAAUGAAAACAUCGUACAGGCUCCCUACACAGCCCAACAUGAUAUUUCUCACAAUUUCUGCGUCUAUUAGAACCUCCAAAACUCUUCGUAGGAAUAGUUAUCACAAAUCUGCUGAAUCUCAGAGGCCUCUGCUGAGGCUGUGGAAAUGGGGGCGGGAAGAUGCUACGGAAGCAGAGGUAAUACUCCUUGAAGCACAUAAAUCCUUGCCUUUUCUAGGUGGCUGACUGGAUGAUGUAUUUGGAUUCCUUCUCUUAGCAAACUCAACCUGAAUCCUCCUAUUCUCAGUCGCAAGCUUCUCAGCCCGUAGAGCCAUCUACACAACCUCUUUAUACUACUCCUUACUUGUCACUGUCAUGCACUCUCUAAUUUCAUUUCGGAGCCCUUCCUCGAAGUAGUUAGCCUGAUCCUACUCGAUUUUCACCAGAUCAGGCAAAUAAGACAUUAGCUCGUUAAAACGAGCCUCAUACUUCUCUAUUGUUAAAUUUCCCUGUUUCAGACUUAAGAACUCUCUCUUCUUUUCCUUUUGAUGAAAAUAAGUGUAAUAUUGGCCAUCGAACUCCCUUAGAAAAUCUGACCAAGUCAAAGGAGUAGUAGAACAAGAUUUUACCGAAUUCCACCAAGUACGGGCCCUCUUUUCAAGUAGUCUUAUGGCCACCAUCAAUUUCAUGUCAUCAUCCAAUUUCAUAUCCGUAAGUGUGUCUGAUACCUAAAUGAUCCAGUCUUUAGCUGCGGUUGCAUCCAGAUCACCCGUAAAAGAAAUGCAACCCAACUGCCUAGCCUCCUUAAGUUUCUUAGAAAUGGAUACAUCAGGUACCUGUGGUGGAACAGGAGGUGGUGGUGGUGGCACUGAAUGAGCGACCGGAGGAAUAGCAGAAGAGCUUGACCAGGCUGAGCCUGGCCAGUAAUAGCAGUGAGGAAAGUUACCAAUGCCUGAACUACCUCAGAAGACAUGGCAGGAAUACCAGUAGGUGGUGGAGGAUGUGGAGGAUGUGGAGGAGUCUCGGUUUGCUCAGCAGCAGGUGUUGCCCGAAAAGUGGAUGCAGUCGAUUCCCCCUCUACAGUAUCUGGCUGACGAUGUUGAGAACGACCUCUUCCCCUCCCAGCCGAUCUGGUGAGAGUUGGGUGUUCACGUCGAUGAGGCAUAAUGAUCUAUAAGAAGAGACAGAAUGAAUUUAGACAACUUUAGGUUCUAUAUGCAAUUGUAUGCAUUCAACUCAAUCUAAUCUAACUUAACUUAGGGCCACAUUGACAUUGUAAUUUUUAAAACAACUUUAAAACCAAAAGAUCUAAUACCAAUCAAAUUGUCAUGACCUAGUACUCUCCUCGAGCCCGUGAAAAUAGUAGUAAUGUCCCGAUAGACAUUCAUUACCCUGAAUGCCAAUCGAAACCUCGCAAGGCUUAAUAUCAGUUUUCGCAUCUCCCCUGUGAGCAAUAAUUACUAAAUAUCAUAUUUUAAAAGAUUAUAAGCUAUUUCCAAAUCAAAACAAUAAUAAAAAAAAUUUUCUGUCUCACAAGGGCAUUUUGGUCAUUUUUCUCAAAAAUUUUGAAACCUACUAAAAAUAUAACAUAUAGGGGAAAAUACACAUUUCAUAACUAAAAACAAGUUUUUAUGUCUAAAACAUUCAUUUAGGGUGAAAUUGUAGCUAAUAGAAUAAAAUAAAAAUAUUAAAUAAAAUAUUCUAUUUUCUUAUAAAAUAAUAUUAAUAGAACUCUGCGUAAAUAAUUUUUUUAGCGUAAAAGCAAAAUAAAUCCAUACAUACAGUAACACAGAUAACCAGAGUAUGUAACUUAAUUUACAAUGACAUGUAGGCCCCCGAAUGACCAAAGGUAACAAAAGCUGUGGACUUAUAAUUUCAAAGGAGGCAAGUCCAAUAAUAACCCUCGAUGUAAUCAACUAUUUAUGGAAUGUCUUGAUCCUAGAAUGAGUGGAAAGGAGGGUGGUGAGUUUAUAUAAACUCAGUGAGUAAACAAACAGCAUCUAAAAUAUCUAAAAUCGAGUAAAUGGAGACAACUUAAAAUAGUUCAUCGUACUAUGAUUCAUAACGUUUCAAACUCAUUUCAACUAAAUAAAAUAAUUUCAUUUCACUCAAAUAAUCAACAUGGCUUAUGAAUUUCUUAAAAAUUUGGCUCGUACCAAAACUCAUUCUCGGGGAUACCUUGGUUGGGGCAUCAAACCGAGUCCACCAAGGCUAUUAAAGAAAAGUUUAUAUACGCAUAAAACACAGUUUUACGUUUAAAAGCAUAGUCGUUCCUUGGCAUUGGCUGAGUUCACCUUCACGUGGUGGUUUAGCGUGUAGUGAACUCUAAAGCUUUACCUUAGGAGAUACCCUCCGCGCCUCUCGUACCAAGGUAAAAUAUAACUGGGUUUACCGUGCUCCUCUCUAAUAGGUUGGUCCACAAAAACCCACCACUGCAGUGACUAAUCAAUAUCCCACCAAAUCAAUAAAAGUUUCGACAGCAUGACAAGGCAAUUAUAUUACUACCCAGCCUGUUAAGACAAAACAAACAGUUCAUACAAUUUCAACACAAUUUCCAAUUCAGCCAUUCAUGCCAAUAUCACCAUAAGCCAUUCAAUUCAAACCAUAAAUUUACAACACAAUCAAACAGUCUCCAAUUACUCAAUUUUUAAAAUCAUCAUUCAAUUUUAAAAUGAUUUAUAAACCUCAUUUCAUUUAAUCACAUUUUACUUAUAAAAUAUAAGGAUUUACCAUUUAAACUCAUUUUUCUAUAAAAUCACAAAAACGAAUAAAAACUACUUUAGAUAAUUAAGACAAUAAUAAAGUUACUCACAAUAUCGGGAGUCGAAGUACCCCUACUCCCAAUCUUCGGGUAUAAUAUCCUUACCCUUAUC